rnacentral:rRNA from 1 species
GUGGGGAAUCUUGCGCAAUGGGCGAAAGCCUGACGCAGCCAUGCCGCGUGAAUGAUGAAGGUCUUAGGAUUGUAAAAUUCUUUCACCGGGGACGAUAAUGACGGUACCCGGAGAAGAAGCCCCGGCUAACUUCGUGCCAGCAGCCGCGGUAAUACGAAGGGGGCUAGCGUUGCUCGGAAUUACUGGGCGUGAAGGGCGCGUAGGCGGACAGUUUAGUCAGAGGUGAAAGCCCAGGGCUCAACCUUGGAAUUGCCUUUGAUACUGGCUGUCUUGAGUACGGGAGAGGUGAGUGGAACUCCGAGUGUAGAGGUGAAAUUCGUAGAUAUUCGGAAGAACACCAGUGGCGAAGGCGACUCACUGGCCCGUUACUGACGCUGAGGCGCGAAAGCGUGGGGAGCAAACAGGAUUAGAUACCCCAGUAGUCC